UACGUAGGGUGCAAGCGUUGUCCGGAAUUAUUGGGCGUAAAGAGCUCGUAGGCGGCUCGUUGCGUCGGCUGUGAAAACCCGCAGCUCAACUGUGGGCCUGCAGCCGAUACGGGCGGGCUAGGAUUCGGUAGGGGAGACUGGAAUUCCCGGUGUAGCGGUGAAAUGCGCAGAUAUCGGGAGGAACACCGGUGGCGAAGGCGGUUCUCUGGGCCUUACCUGACGCUGAGGAGCGAAAGCGUGGGGAGCGAACAGG
rnacentral:rRNA from 1 species